rnacentral:lncRNA from 1 species
CCGUUCAGACGUCAUCCCUAGCUCUCGGAGGCAUUCUUUGGCGUAAGGUGUAAGUGAAGUUGCUCAUCAGAGACCAUAUCCUUCCGAGUCGCAGCUUUGAUCCCGCAUGUUGCUUAACUAGUAUUGCAACACUUUGAAAUCAAGCCACUAAUGAAGAUUUGCACGUCGAGGACAGACCAUCUUGUCACGUGAGGCAAGGGUCCUACACUUAGUGUCUCUUCCGGUUAGAGACCUAGGAUCCCGCGGAAUUGAAUCCUUCAGUUGGUUAAGUCUAUUCCGGUGGAAUGACUAUCGUGGCCAAUUUUGGGAGUCGUCUGGCACAGGUUGUCGAUGCAUUGAUGAGGACCUGAGCAGUCGUACAACCUAUCCACGUCUGGAUAUUCCGGAGUGGCUUACCCUAUCGUGCUGGAAAGCUUACCCUGAAGGGUGUCGGGGAAUUAGUUUACCCUCUCGCGUUAGAGAGCUUACCUUUAUGGGUGUCGGGGAAUUAGUUUACCAUCUCGCACUGGAGAGCUUACCUAGAUGGGUGUCGGGGAAUUAGUUUACCCUCUCGCGCUGAAGAGCUAACUCUGAUGGGUGUCGGGGAAUUAGUUUACCCUCUCGCGUUGGAGAACUAACCUUGAUAGGUGUCGGGGAAUUAGUUUAUCCUCUCAGGCUGGAAAGCUUAUGCCAUGUCUGUUAGGCAGUGGGCAUCUUCUGCUUGUCACAAGGUUGGUCAGUUUAUUCAUACAUUUAGCCCAGGCUUGUGAAUAAAUCCUUCAAUCUUCAUUUAAAAUAGAGGCUUUUAUUAACUUUACUCAUAGGAAGUAAUGGCAUAACAACUGACAAUUCUCGGCAUGCGAGGUCUUGUUCGUCGAACUGCUAGAGACUUCAAACUUAUGGGGAUGAAUCUAACUAGAGUUAGGAGGUGAUGGACCAAGAAUGCUCUGACCUAGCAAAAAUGCCAUUAAAUCACAUCGUCUUCGAUGGGGGUUCAAUGUCAACUUAUGCUGCUUGCAUAGGCCAUACAGCUGACUUGUUGAGGUAUUUGUCACACCGGCCUUCCUUCGUUAGCUCAUCGAGGUACUGUUUCCAUUUUAGGCAGCCGUUGGCAGUGUGACUCGGCCCUUGGUAGAAUGCGCAAUACUUUGUCUGAUCUAGUUUGGUAAGAUCACCCUCAAGGUCUAAAAUAUCGAUGAUAUCGAAAAUAUCGGUAGUCCAAAAACAUGGAAAUUUCAAUGGAAAUAUCGGGAUAUUAUCGAUAUUGAUAAAAAUUGAAUAAAAACCACGGAAAUUGUAAGAAAAACUUGGAAAUUUUUAUUGAAACUUUGCAGGAUGUUUAUUUAGUCAAUUAUCUAUUAGUUUAUCACAAAAAAUUGGAAGGAAAUGCAUUGCAUGAUGGAUUUAAGUUGAUUAUAUAGCGAGCUGGCAAACAUUGUGAGUGUAGAAAAUAUGUAGUAAUUAAUGAAAGAA